AGGUCAACAAUGCUGGUAUAGUUCUCAAAGGAAGUAUUGAAACCACUUCACUGGAAGACUUUGACAAAGUGAUGAGGAUCAACAUGAGGGCUGUCUUUUAUCUGACAUCACUGGCUGUGCCUUAUCUGACGGAAACACAAGGUUGUAUUGUGAAUGUCUCCAGUGUUAAUGGAAUGAGAUCAUUUCCUGGAGUUCUUGCAUACAACAUGUCUAAAAGUGCCGUUGAUCAACUCACAAGGUGCACUGCUUUAGAACUUGCUUCAAAAAAUGUUCGCUGUAACUCUGUCAAGUAAG